UAAACGAUUUUCAGAUUUUUUUUGUCUUGAAGAAAUUGAUCGAAAAGAAUGAAUAUCAAGUUAUAAGAACAGUAUUUAUUUAUAAAUCUAUUUUGUCUAUGUCAUAGUUAAAAAAAGAUAGAGAAUUCAAGCACGCAUGAAAUGUCGAUUCUAAACAACGCGUGUUGUUCUUGGCAAAGUUUAAAGGGUCGAAACGUUUGUAAUUAUCGGAAACUUCACAACAUAUCGCACGAACAAUUGCAGCUCUAAUGGUAGCUCCGGCGUACUCAUUCAGACCUAUUCAUUUCUCAAGUGUAUAUAGCUGGCGGAAAUACAAGAGCACAAUGACAACAAUAUCAUGCAGAAAUUGUAACAGAUUUAUGAACAGUAACAUAUGUUUCUGUCUGGAUUCAAAAUCGGUAUAGAAGAUUGCAUGACGUGAAAGAGACACGCAAUACACAAGAUGAUUGAAACAGACUCCCCAGAGCUAACAAUUGACGUACAUAAACAUAAGCAGCAUAAGAGCGAAAUAGCGAAAGUUUGAAGAUCCAGAAUCUCAACGAUAAAAAUUAAGUCAAUUAUAUUGAAGUAUACGGAAUACUAGAAGAUGCGGAAUACUGGAAUAUUAGAAUAUUAGGAAAUGCGGGAUACUUAUUUAUUAUGGUAUCACAUUCCAUUGGGACACAGGAGAACGUCUUCUCCGCGCCUCUUCCUCGUCCAGUGGCGAAUCUUCCUGAUCUUCC
rnacentral:lncRNA from 1 species